CCCUUAGAUGUUCUGGGCCGCACGCGUGCUACACUGAACGGUUCAAUGGGUAAGGUAGUGCGAAAGCAUGACCUAAUCUCGAAAUCCGUUCGUGCUGGGGAUAGAAGCUUGCAAUUAUCCUUCUUGAACGAGGAAUACCUUGUAAGCGCGGGUCAUCAUCCCGCGCUGAAUACGUCCCUGCCCUUUGUACACACCGCCCGUCGCUCCUACCGAUUGAGUGGUCCGGUGAGGCUUUGGGAUCUGAGCGGAAAGAGCGUUUCGCUGUUUCUGCUCGGAAAACUCAGUCGAACCUUAUCAUUUAGAGGAAGGAGAAGUCGUAACA
rnacentral:rRNA from 1 species